UACGUAGGGUGCAAGCGUUAAUCGGAAUUACUGGGCGUAAAGCGCACGUAGUCGGCUUUGCAAGUCGGGUGUGAAAUCCCCGGGCUCAACCUGGGAACUGCAUCCGAGACUGCAUUGCUAGAGUAUGGGAGAGGGAAGCGGAAUUUCUGGUGUAGCAGUGAAAUGCGUAGAUAUCAGAAGGAACAUCAGUGGCGAAGGCGGCUUCCUGGACCAAUACUGACGAUCAGGUGGCGAAAGCGUGGGGAGCAAACAGG
rnacentral:rRNA from 1 species